rnacentral:rRNA from 1 species
GGCUUAAACUCAAAGGAAUUGACGGGGACCCGCACAAGCGGUGGAUGAUGUGGAUUAAUUCGAUGCAACGCGAAAAACCUUACCUACCCUUGACAUGCCAGGAACUUGCCAGAGAUGGCUUGGUGCCCGAAAGGGAGCCUGGACACAGGUGCUGCAUGGCUGUCGUCAGCUCGUGUCGUGAGAUGUUGGGUUAAGUCCCGCAACGAGCGCAACCCUUGUCAUUAGUUGCCAUCAUUCAGUUGGGCACUCUAAUGAGACUGCCGGUAACAAACCGGAGGAAGGUGGGGAUGACGUCAAGUCCUCAUGGCCCUUAUGGGUAGGGCUUCACACGUCAUACAAUGGUCGGUACAGAGGGUCGCCAACCCGCGAGGGGGAGCCAAUCCCUUAAAACCGCUCGUAGUCCGGAUUGUAGUCUGCAACUCGACUGCAUGAAGUCGGAAUCGCUAGUAAUCGCGGAUCAGCUUGCCGCGGUGAAUACUUUCCCGGGUCUUGUACACACCGCCCGUCACACCAUGGAAGUGGGGUUUACCAGAAGUAAUUAGCUUAACCGCAAGGGGGGCGAUUACCACGGUAGGCUUCAUGACUGGGGUGAAGUCGUAACAAGGUAGCCGUAUCGGAAGGUGCGGCUGGAUCACCUCCU